rnacentral:rRNA from 1 species
UACGGGGGGGGGUAAGCGUUGUUCGGAAUUACUGGGCGUAAAGGGCUCGUAGGCGGCCAACUAAGUCAGACGUGAAAUCCCUCAGCUUAACUGGGGAACUGCGUCUGAUACUGGAUGGCUUGGAUUUGGGAGAGGGAUGCGGAAUUCCAGGUGUAGCGGUGAAAUGCGUAGAUAUCUGGAGGAACACCGGUGGCGAAGGCGGCAUCCUGGACCGGUAUUGACGCUGAGGCGCGAAAGCUAGGGGAGCAAACGGG